UACGUAGGGUGCAAGCGUUAAUCGGAAUUACUGGGCGUAAAGCGUGCGCAGGCGGUUUUGUAAGACAGAGGUGAAAUCCCCGGGCUCAACCUGGGAACUGCCUUUGUGACUGCAAGGCUAGAGUACGGCAGAGGGGGAUGGAAUUCCGCGUGUAGCAGUGAAAUGCGUAGAUAUGCGGAGGAACACCGAUGGCGAAGGCAAUCCCCUGGGCCUGUACUGACGCUCAUGCACGAAAGCGUGGGGAGCAAACAGGAUUAGAUACCCUGGUAGUCCACGCCCUAAACGAUGUCAACUGGUUGUUGGGUCUUAACUGACUCAGUAACGAAGCUAACGCGUGAAGUUGACCGCCUGGGGAGUACGGCCGCAAGGUUGAA
rnacentral:rRNA from 1 species